UACGAAGGGAGCAAGCGUUGUUCGGAUUUACUGGGCGUAAAGGAUGCGUAGGUGGUUUAUUAAGUUGGAAGUGAAAGCCCCAGGCUUAACUUGGGAAUGGCUUUCAAAACUGGUAGACUUGAGUAUGGAAGAGGUUGGUGGAAUUCCCAGUGUAGAGGUGAAAUUCGUAGAUAUUGGGAAGAACAUCCGUGGCGAAGGCGGCCAACUGGUCCAUUACUGACACUGAGGCAUGACAGCGUGGGGAGCAAACAGG
rnacentral:rRNA from 1 species